rnacentral:rRNA from 1 species
UGAGGAAUAUUGGUCAAUGGGGGAAACCCUGAUGCAGCGACGCCGCGUGAGCGAAGAAGUAUUUCGGUAUGUAAAGCUCUAUCAGCAGGGAAGAAAAUGACGGUACCUGACUAAGAAGCCCCGGCUAACUACGUGCCAGCAGCCGCGGUAAUACGUAGGGGGCAAGCGUUAUCCGGAUUUACUGGGUGUAAAGGGAGCGUAGACGGAUCUGCAAGUCUGGAGUGAAAGCCCGGGGCUCAACCCCGGGACUGCUUUGGAAACUGUAUUUCUAGAGUGCUGGAGAGGUAAGUGGAAUUCCUAGUGUAGCGGUGAAAUGCGUAGAUAUUAGGAGGAACACCAGUGGCGAAGGCGGCUUACUGGACAGUGACUGACGUUGAGGCUCGAAAGCGUGGGGAGCAAACAGGAUUAGAUACCC